UCACUUCACCCACCAUUCUAUACUCUCUGCCUCUCCCCUCAGGGAGAAUUCAGCAAGCUGAUUUACAUACCAUUUAACAAUACAAAACCACCUAAAUCAAGUCAAAGCAUAUAUUGGGGUCAGUGGCGGUUGGUGGCUCCUGAGAUGGAGGGUGGAGCGCGCUGAGCAGGGCAGGUGAUGGGCAGAGCCAGGAUGCUAGUACUGGAGCCCAUAAUCCACAGCUAAGGUGGCCAGGCUGCAGGCAAGGAACAAACAUAAGAAGGUAUUCAGAAAAACAGAAAGGAGAUGAAAUGGCUGACAAAUAUUUUCAGUUGUCUUUUUACUGGGUUCAUGGUAAGAAGAACAAAAGUUGAAGCUUGCUUGCCUGAGAAUGGAAAAUAUGUCUGUAAGGGACAGUGCCACCUGCUGGCCCUUAUAAAUUGUGACGAUAAUCCAUAUCUUUCUUUUCAACAAACUUCAGAAAAGAUCAUGAAUGGAUCACAUUCUGGACAGAGGUGAAUGCCAAUGUCAGGGUACCCUGGAGGAGCAACAGACUCAAGCAAGGCUUUUGAAAACAAGAGGAAGCCAGAGUUUCCCAAAAGGAGCAGGGGAAGGCGGACUGGUAAUGCUGUUGAUCUGUAAUAUUGCCGUGAAAAUAAACUUGAAAUAAAAUACUAAACAGGAACAA